rnacentral:rRNA from 1 species
AACGAACGCUGGCGGCAGGCCUAACACAUGCAAGUCGAGCGGACCCUUCGGGGUUAGCGGCGGACGGGUGAGUAACGCGUGGGAACGUGCCCUUUGCUUCGGAAUAGCCCUGGGAAACUGGGAGUAAUACCGGAUACGCCCUUUUGGUGAAAGAUUUAUCGGCGAAGGAUCGGCCCGCGUUGGAUUAGGUAGUUGGUGUGGUAAUGGCCUACCAAGCCGACGAUCCAUAGCUGGUUUGAGAGGAUGAUCAGCCACACUGGGACUGAGACACGGCCCAGAAUCCUACGGGAGGCAGCAGUGGGGAAUCUUAGACAAUGGGGGAAACCCUGAUCGAGCCAUGCCGCGUGAGAGAUGAAGGCCUUAGGGUUGUAAAGCUCUUUCACCGGGGAAGAUAAUGACGGUACCCGGAGAAGAAGCCCCGGCUAACUCCGUG